UAGAUAGAUGCUCGCUGGAUUGGGCGCUUAGCUGUUAACUAAGAUUUUGAAGGAUCGAAGCCUUCCUACCUAG
rnacentral:tRNA from 1 species